rnacentral:rRNA from 1 species
AUUGAACGCUGGCGGCAUGCCUUACACAUGCAAGUCGAACGGCAGCAUGGAGAGCUUGCUCUCUGAUGGCGAGUGGCGAACGGGUGAGUAAAGCAUCGGAACGUACCGUGUAAUGGGGGAUAACGUAGCGAAAGUUACGCUAAUACCGCAUACGACCUGAGGGUGAAAGCAGGGGAUCGCAAGACCUUGCGUUAUACGAGCGGCCGAUGUCAGAUUAGCUAGUUGGUGAGGUAAAGGCUCACCAAGGCGACGAUCUGUAGCGGGUCUGAGAGGAUGAUCCGCCACACUGGGACUGAGACACGGCCCAGACGGUCCUACGGGAGGCAGCAGUGGGGAAUUUUGGACAAUGGGCGGAAGCCUGAUCCAGCCAUGCCGCGUGAGUGAAGAAGGCCUCGGUUGGUU